rnacentral:rRNA from 1 species
ACCAGACUCCUACGGGAGGCAGCAGUGGGGAAUAUUGCACAAUGGGGGAAACCCUGAUGCAGCGACGCCGCGUGAGUGAAGAAGUAUUUCGGUAUGUAAAGCUCUAUCAGCAGGGAAGAUAAUGACGGUACCUGACUAAGAAGCCCCGGCUAACUACGUGCCAGCAGCCGCGGUAAUACGUAGGGGGCAAGCGUUAUCCGGAUUUACUGGGUGUAAAGGGUGCGCAGGUGGCAGGGCAAGUCAGAUGUGAAAGCCCGGGGCUCAACCCCGGUAUUGCAUUUGAAACUGUCCGGCUAGAGUGCAGGAGAGGUAAGCGGAAUUCCUAGUGUAGCGGUGAAAUGCGUAGAUAUUAGGAGGAACACCAGUGGCGAAGGCGGCUUACUGGACUGUAACUGACACUGAGGCACGAAAGCGUGGGGAGCAAACAGGAUUAGAUACCCGUGUAGA